AGGGGCAGAGUUAUUGACAACGAGAGAGCACGAGACAUAUAAGGAUUCAGAGAGGUGACACAUUACCUGAGCUGCAGCAGUGCAACAAGUGUUACAGCAAUUACCAGCAAUUUUCUGCUUGACCAGCAUGUUUAAGCCAGCCAAACUGGUCAAAUGAAUAAGUCAUCUUCAAAUCCACUUCAACAUGCAGUUGUCUGUGGAGUACAUCUUGUCUUGGGAGCACCCUUUGAUUUUACAUCU